AUGACAGCUCAUAUUUCUUGCUGAAAAGGUACUUGCUAGUUUUUUCUUAUUUCACUAGAAACUAAACCAAAAAUACUCGGUAAGAUUUUGUAACACAGCGUCGCUAAAAUCCCUUUCACGUUUUGGACCUACAAUAAAUAUUUUGGCGAUUUAUUUGCUUAAUUUUAGUUUUUUUUUUUUAUAUAAUUUCUUGUCCUGUGAAUACGGUUGAAUCUACAUUUUUGGCGCACGUGACAAAACAUUUUUACACCCUGGUCUACAGGAAGCGGGCGCCGCCGGGACGCCGCAGCCGCCUGGACGCC